rnacentral:rRNA from 1 species
CCAAACAAUCAAGUAUAAGAGGUCCAGCCUGCCCAGUGACUAAAUGUUCAACGGCCGCGGUAUUCUGACCGUGCAAAGGUAGCGUAAUCACUUGUCUUUUAAAUAAAGACUGGUAUGAAUGGCACCACGAGGGUUCCACUGUCUCAUGCGUCCUAUCAGUGAAACUAACCUCCCCGUGCAGAGGCGGGGAUAUCAACAUAAGACGAGAAGACCCUAUGGAGCUUAAAACCUUGGACAAUUGUUCAAUAUUAAACAAUCAACAGACAUACCUAAAAAACAAACAACCCUGAUCCAAUGGUUUUCGGUUGGGGCGACCACGGAGAAUAAAACAUCCUCCACGAAGAACGGAUUAACAAACCUUAAACAAGAGUCACCACUCAAAGCAAUAAAAUAUUUAACUUAAAUUGACCCAGCAUAGCUGAUCAACGAACCAAGUUACCCUAGGGAUAACAGCGCUAUCCACUUCAAAAGUUCAUAUUGACAAGUGGGUUUACGACCUCGAUGUUGGAUCAGGGCAUCCAGGUGGUGCAGCCGCUACCAAAGGUUCGUUUGUUCAACGAUUAAAGCCCUACGUGAUCUGAGUUCAGACCGGAGAAAUCCAGGUCAGUUUCUAUCUAUGUGGAACUCCCACCAGUACGAAAGGACCGAGGGAGUGCGGUCAAUAAACAAUCACACCGCAACCUUAAAUCAAUGAACACCCUCAAUUGAAUUAAGACCCAUCAAAUAAGCCUAAAAACAAGGCC